GAUGAACGCUGGCGGCGUGCCUAAUACAUGCAAGUCGAGCGAACAGACGAGGAGCUUGCUCCUCUUACGUUAGCGGCGGACGGGUGAGUAACACGUGUAUAACCUACCUAUAAUACUGGGAUAACUUCGGGAAACCGGAGCUAAUACCGGAUAAUAUAUUGAACCGCAUGGUUCAAUAGUUAAAUACGGUUUUUCUGUCACUUAUAGAUGGAUCCUCGCCGCAUUAGCUAGUUGGUAAGGUAACGGCUUACCAAGGCGACGAUUCGUAGCCGACGUGAGAGGGUGAUCGGACACACUGGAACUGAGACACGGACCAGAGUACUACGGGAGGCAGCAGUAGGGAAUAGUACGCAAUGGGCGAAAGCAUGACGGAGCAAAGCCGCGUGAGUGAUGAAGGUCUUCGGAUCGUAAAACUCUGUUAUUAGGGAAGAAAAAAUGUGUAAGUAAAUAUGCACGUCUUGACGGUACCUAAUAAGAAAGCAACGGCUAACUACGUG
rnacentral:rRNA from 1 species